GCAGGAAGUGGGAGCACCGCGGUUUCGGGGAAGAGACCGGGGUUGAGCGUCUAGCCCAGCUCAGCGUGACUUCCGCCAGCGUUUAGAACGUUUUCGGGGUCCGAGUUGAAGAGCAAAACCAAGUGAAGGAAACUUCACUAAGUUCAGGGUGACAAGGGAGGAAGUACAGAGUGAACUAUUGGCAUGGCUCAAUCCAUUGACCUGUUUUGGUUCCUGAUGAAGUUUUGUUAAUUUAAAUGAGAAAAAUAAGGACAGUGAAAAACAGAGCGCUUAAAAAGCACUGUCUGGAUAUCUUCAGAGGGAAAAAGGAGAAAGUUAACUGAAUUGGUGACACUUCGGGUCUCUCACAGAGGAAGACCUGUUAGAGUGCUAAGGAGAAGACAAGUUAUUAGCACCCAAAAGAAGCACCAGUGGGGAUGGAAAUACAAGGUUGACAUUCGCUGAGCUGUGGUUUUUUUCCAGGGAAAUGGUUAUUCUUGAUAUUUUGAGCAAACUCUUCUUCUCUGUUUGAUCAGUGCCCAGAACAAGGAAACAGGUUAGUCUCUCUGAGCCUUAGAUUUCUGAUCUGUAAAAUAAGGAUUAAGGAUAGUUCAUUUUAAACAAGGGUAAUGCUAUUUUCUACCCCUUAGGCUUAUAAGAGGAUAUGUACAGAGCCUGGUGAGUUUUAUAUCAUCUCAUCUUGAAUGGCAAUCAAAACUCCUUCUGGGCCUCCAUGACACCCUGAUGGAGUGUCAGCAGUUAUUAAAGUAAAAGAGCAAAGAUAAACAACAGGAGUCUUUGAUCCCAGGGCC
rnacentral:antisense_RNA from 1 species